AUGAUUGGUGACAGCUCUCAGGAUGGAAUCACAUCAGUAACUAAUGCAGUGCAAGCUUUGGAAGGCAGCAGUGUCACACUGUCAUGCAACUACACUUCUUCUAAUAUUGGAGACACCCUACAAUGGUAUCGCCAGUACCCCAGUUCAAAACCUGAAUUCCUCAUCCUCAUCGUCAGAAACAGACUGAGGUUCACUGUAAAACAUGACAAAAAGAACAGACAUGUGCAACUGGAGAUCUCCUCUGCUGAAGUGACAGACUCUGCACUGUACUACUGUGCC